GAUGAACGCUGGCGGCGUGCCUAAUACAUGCAAGUCGAGCGAACAGAUCAUUAUCUUGCUCCUUUGACGUUAGCGGCGGACGUGUGAGUAACACGUGUUUAACCUACCUAUAAGACUGGAAUACCUCCGGGAAACCUUUUCUAAUGCCGGAUAACAUUUCGAUCCGCUUUGUUCUAAAGUUUUUUUUGUUUUUGCUAUCUCUUAUAGAUUUUCCCUCUCCGUAUUAGCUAGUUGGUAAGGUAACGGCUUACCAAGGCAACGAUACGUAGCCGACAUGAGAGGGUGAGCGACGACACGGGAACGGAGACACGGAACAGAGUAGUACGGGAGGCAGCAGUAGGGAAUGUUACGCAAUGGGCGAAAGCAUGACGGAGCAAAGCCGCGUGAGUGAUGAAGGGAUGCGGAUCGUAAAACUAUGUUAUUAGGGAAGAAAAAAUGUGUAAGUAACAGGGAACGUAUUGACGGUACCUAAUCAGAAAGCAACGGCUAACUACGUG
rnacentral:rRNA from 1 species